rnacentral:rRNA from 1 species
GGAUACCGCUGGCGGCGUGCUUACACUGCGAUUCAAACGAACUUCGGGUUAGUGCGCGGACGGGUGAAUAACGCGUGAGAAUCUGCCCUUAGGAGGGGGACAACAGUUGGAAACGACUGCUAAUACCCCAUAUGCCGCGAGGUGAAAUGAAUUUCGCCUGAGGAUGAGCUCGCGUCUGAUUAGCUAGUUGGUGUAGGUAAUGGCUCACCAAGGCAUCGAUCAGUAGCUGGUCUGAGAGGAUGAUCAGCCACACUGGGACUGAGACACGGCCCAGACUCCUACGGGAGGCAGCAGUGGGGAAUUUUCCGCAAUGGGCGAAAGCCUGACGGAGCAACGCCGCGUGAGGGAUGAAGUGCCUCUGGGCUGUAAACCUCUUUUAUCAAGGAAGAAGAUCU